rnacentral:tRNA from 1 species
CCUCUUGUAGCUCAGUUGUCAGAGGAUUGGUGCGCAAAGUCAAAGGUCCGGGGUUCGACUCCCGGCAAGGGUG